rnacentral:antisense_RNA from 1 species
CGUUAUGGCAGGCUAGACAGGGCAGCUUCGUGCUGGCCGUGCAUCUUUGAGCGGUAUUCCUACACCCUGUUUAGUCUGUCACCAUC